rnacentral:sRNA from 1 species
GCAGCCCCAACCCCAGCCCCAGGCCCAGCAGCAGCAGCAGCAGCAGCAGCCCCUGCUGUCCCGCCGCCCGGAGAGGCUCUGCAGCCAUGAAGCCAACCGUCCCGAGCCUUCAAUACCCCAGGUCCCAAACUACAGGCUGUCGAUGACGAUCCCAGACUGGCUCCAGGCGAUCCAGAAUUACAUGAAGACCCUACAGUAUCCUUCCAACCAAGGUCUGAGCACACCCAGCCAGGGGAGAGGCAUGGUGAUCGCAAGCCUGGUGGCAAAUCUGUCCCCAGCUGGUCAUCAAAAGCUCUCUAAGGUUAAUGGAAACAGCAAAAGAAAUGACCCGAGAGUCCUUGCCUAUCAAAUGCCUUGAAGCUGUCAUCCUGGGCAUCUACUUAACCAAUGGACAGCCUUCCAUCGAGCGGUUCCCCAUCAGCUUUAAAACCUACUUCUCAGGAAACUACUUUCACCACGUUGUGCUGGGGAUUUACUGCAAUGGCCGCUAUGGCUCAUUGGGCAUGAGCCGCAGGGCUGAGCUGAUGGACAAGCCAUUGACUUUUCGGACUCUGAGUGACCUCAUCUUUGACUUUGAGGACUCUUACAAGAAAUACCUGCACACAGUCAAGAAGGUCAAGAUUGGGCUGUACGUCCCCCAUGAGCCUCAUAGCUUCCAGCCCAUUGAGUGGAAGCAGCUGGUCCUCAACGUCUCAAAGAUGCUGAGGGCUGACAUAAGGAAGGAGCUGGAGAAAUAUGCCAGGGACAUGAGAAUGAAGGGCUUGUGCAGUCACUAAGAGAAAAGGAUUAUGCUGACUUCAGGCCUCGCUAUGUUUAGCACUUGUGGACUUGUCAUCUUCACUCUGCAGGACCUGGAGUGGAGAUUCCUGAUCAAUUAAAACCAUUCUGUCAUAUGUGUGGGAUGGGAGCAUCAGAGGAAGAACAAGCUGGUUUCUGGGGCAAUAUAGAUGGGACUUUGCCUUCGUGAGGAGAGGAACUUGCCAAGCAAACAAACACAGCCCCGGGGAGACUGAGGCAUUGGGCUGUGUUCCUCUUUCUACACGGCACAGGGAGCACAAUGUGACCAUCUGUAUAUCUGUCUUGGAAGUGGUGCCCUUGCUGCUUGACAGUACAGGACGAGAGAGGAAUGUGUGUGUCUCCAGCCUCCUUUUUUAGAAGUCUUCCUGCUCAAUGCCUUCUAAACCAUGGCAUCAUGAUUGGGCUGGGGGGUGGAAUGUGGUGCUAGAAGAAGACCUGAGGGUGGAGGUCCCUUAGGAACCAGGGUGAUUAACUCCUCACAUCUCCUUCAGAUCCUGAAACCUGCAAGUGCCCACUCUCCAACCCAAGUGAGAAGCCGGGGAAAAUCCCUGUCCCCCAGAAGGAGACAGGCAAGCCCCCCGAGGAGGCUCGGCCGGCGAGAGAAGUCCCCUGAGGCCAGUGAUCCCAUAUCUACUUCUUAGAUCAAAAUAACCCACUUAAGCAAUGACAGAUUGGAGAUGCUGGGGAUGCCCAAAUUCACCAGCGAUAAUCCGCUGGCAAAUAUUUGAACUAUAGCCAUCCUGGGAAAAAAUACUGCUUUUCUUAAUAAUAGCAGCAUGCUGUGUCACCCAGCCUCUUGCCGUGCUGGAACCAUGUGGCACAGUGCACAGGGGGCUUGGUUGAAUCCCAACUGUGCCACGUGUUAGCUGUGCAGCUGGGCACAUCCUUCCUCCUCAGGGAGCCUUGGUUUCUUCAUCCAUAAAAGAGUAUCAAAUGCU